CCUACGGGAGGCAGCAGUGGGGGAUAUUGCACAAUGGGGGAAACCCUGAUGCAGCGACGCCGCGUGGGUGAAGAAGCGCCUCGGCGCGUAAAGCCCUGUCAACCGGGAAGAAAAUGACGGUACCUGAAGCAGAAGCCCCGGCUAAAUACGUGCCAGCAGCCGCGGUAAUACGUAGGGGGCCAGCGGUAUCAGGAUUUACUGGGUGGAAAGGGGGCGCAGACGGCGAUGCAAGCCAGGUGUGAAAGCCCGGGGCCCAACCCCGGGACUGCUCUUGGAACUGCGUGGCUAGAGUGCAGGAGGGGCAGGCGGAAUUCCUGGUGUAGCGGUGAAAUGCGUAGAUAUCAGGAGGAACACCGGUGGCGAAGGCGGCUUGCUGGACUGCAACUGACGUUGAGGCCCGAAAGCGUGGGGAGCAAACAGGAUUAGAUACCCCUGUAGUC
rnacentral:rRNA from 1 species